UCCAGGCGGAAUGCUUAAUGCGUUAGCUUCGGCACGGCAGGGAUCGAUACCCGCCACACCAAGCACUCAUCGUUUAGGGCUAGGACUACCGGGGUAUCUAAUCCCGUUUGCUCCCCUAGCUUUCGCGCCUCAGCGUCGAUCUCGGUCCAGGAUGCCGCCUUCGCCACCGGUGUUCCUCCAGAUAUCUACGCAUUUCACCGCUACACCUGGAAUUCCACAUCCCUCUCCCGAAUCCAAGCCUCCCAGUAUCGGACGCAGUUCCCAGGUUAAGCCUGGGGCUUUCACGUCCGACUUAGAAGGCCGCCUACGCGCCCUUUACGCCCAGUAAUUCCGAACAACGCUUGCCACCUCUGUAUUACCGCGGCUGCUGGCACAGAGUUAGCCGUGGCUUCCUCAACCGGUACCGUCAGUCUCCAACGUAUUAAGCUGGAGCUUUUCGUCCCGAUCAACAGGAGUUUACAAUCCGAAGACCUUCAUCCUCCACGCGGCGUUGCGUCGUCAGGCUUGCGCCCAUUGCGAAAAAUUCCCCACUGCUGCCUCCCGUA
rnacentral:rRNA from 1 species